rnacentral:lncRNA from 1 species
UUCGUUUCUGUGUGUGUUGCAUUUUAACGUUGAGUCGUUUGUGUUUUCUCUUAUUUUUGAGAAAUUGAGAUAAGACGUGGCACGGUACUUGUCUAUCCCAAAUUCAUGUAUUUGGUUUUCAUGUUAUAUUUGUUAUUCUCAUGGUGUUUUGUCUGAUGCUUGGUCCGUUUCUGUGUGUGUUACGUUUCGGUGUUAUGUCGUUGUUCUCCUCUUAUAUUUAAUGCGUUUCCCUCGGUUUUAGUUUGUUACCCCGAUUUUGUUUUUUGUCCAUGGAUUUAUGAGUUUUGAACAGCGGUAUACUACUGUUGCCUUUAUUU